UACGGAGGGUGCAAACGUUGCUCGGAAUCAUUGGGCGUAAAGCGCACGUAGGCGGACUGUUAAGUCGGAUGUGAAAGCCCUCGGCUUAACCGAGGAAGUGCAUUCGAAACUGGCAGUCUUGAGUACAGAAGAGGGUCGCGGAAUUCCCGGUGUAGAGGUGAAAUUCGUAGAUAUCGGGAGGAACACCAGUGGCGAAGGCGGCGACCUGGGCUGAUACUGACGCUGAGGCGCGAAAGCGUGGGGAGCAAACAGG
rnacentral:rRNA from 1 species